UACGUAGGGUGCGAGCGUUAAUCGGAAUUACUGGGCGUAAAGCGUGCGCAGGCGGUUGUGCAAGACAGAUGUGAAAUCCCCGGGCUUAACCUGGGAACUGCAUUUGUGACUGCACGGCUAGAGUGUGUCAGAGGGGGGUAGAAUUCCACGUGUAGCAGUGAAAUGCGUAGAUAUGUGGAGGAAUACCGAUGGCGAAGGCGACUUUCUGGCCUGUUCUUGACGCUGAGGCGCGAAAGCUAGGGGAGCAAACGGG
rnacentral:rRNA from 1 species